rnacentral:rRNA from 1 species
AUUAAAACUUUUAAUAACGGAUCUUUUAGCUCUAGUAUCGAUAAAGAACGUAGCGAAACGCGAUAUAUAGUAUAAAUUACAGAAUUUAGUGAAUUAUCGAAUCUUUAAACGUAUAUUACGCCUCCUAGUAUCCUAGGAGGUAUACCUAUCCGAGUAUCGUUUUAACCCUUAAGCCCCCGUGGCCUGGUAUUAGGGAACCGCGAGUAAGAGCUCCCGCGGUCCCCGAAAUAUAGUAGCGGUCCCGUAGCGUCCUAGCCCUUUAUAUAGUAAUUAUCGCUUAUAUUAGCAGGCCCGCGGGUUAUUAGCCUUAAAACCCCUUAUAAAGACCGCUCCGGCGGUAUAGUUAACCUUGGAUUAGGUAGGACUACCCGCUAAACUUAAGUAUAUUAAUAAGCGGAGGAAAAGAAACUAAUAGGGAUUACCUUAGUAACGGCGAGUAAAGCGGUAAUAGCUUAAAUUUAAAAUCUAGCUCCUUUAGGGCCCGAGUUAUAAUUUAUAGAGGAUACCUUAGGUACGGGUUCCUUCUAAGUUCCCUAGAACGGGACGCUAUAGAGGGUAAAAGCCCUGUUAGGUCGGAAACCUAGCCCGUAUAAGGCUCCCUCGACGAGUCGAGUAGUUUAGGAAUACUGCUUUAAGGGGAGGUAUACUCCUUUUAAAGCUAAAUACCGGCUAAAGACCGAUAGCGUAUAAAUAAAGUGAUUAAAAAAUAAAAAGCAUUUUAAAAAAAGAGUUAAAUAGUAUAUAAAAUUAUUAAAAGGGAAGCGCUCGCUACUAGACUUAGGUCCGCGGCUUACCCGGUGCUCCGUACUAGUAUAUUCCGCGGGCCUAGGCUAGUAUUAGCUCUCUGUUAGGUUUAAAGGCUUUAGGAAUAUAGCUCCCCCUCGGGGGAGUAUUAUAGCCUAUUACGUUAUACCUCUUAGGGGGCUAAGGUUCGCGUAUCUAUAAGGAUACUAGUAUAAUAAUAGCUAAUAACCCGUCUUAAAAUAUAGACUAAGGAGUUAACCUUAUAUACGAGUACCUAGGCGUUAAACCCUAGCGCGGAAUAAAACUAAACGUAGGUAGGAGCUUCGGCGUAUUACCGACCGAUCUUAAUAUCCUCGGACGGAUUUAAGUAAGAGUAUAUAGGGUCGGACCCGAAAAAAGAUAAACUAUACGUGUAUAGGGUAAAGCCAGAGGAAACUCUAGUAAAGGCUUAUAGCGGUUCUAAUAUAUAAAUCGAUUAUUAAAUAUACGUAUAAGGGCGAAAGACUAAUCGAAUCUUUUAGUAGCUAGUUUCCGCUAAAGUUUCCCUUAGGAUAAUAGUAUUAAUCCUAGUUUUAUAAGGUAAAACGAAUAAUUAGGGACCCGGGGGCGCUUAUUAGCCUUUAUCUAUUCUUAAACUUUAAAUAUAUAAAAAGUCCCUAUUUCUUUAUUAAACGCGGACGCUAGAAUAAAGUAACACUAAUAGGCUAUUUUUAGUAAGCAGAACUAGCGAUAUAGGAUAAACCGGAUAUAAGGUUAAGGUGCCGGAGUGGACGCUUAUUAAAUACUAUAAAAGGUAUUAGUAUAUCUUAAUAGCAGGACGGUGGCUAUAAAAGUCGGAAUCCGCUAAGGACUAUAUAAUAACUCACUUACCGAAUAUACUAGCCCUAAAAAUAGAUAGCGCUUAAGCGUCCUACCUAUACCUUACCCUCGGCGCGGGCUUAGCGCGUUAAGGAGUAGGCGGAUAUAAAGGUCGGUAAUAAAGCCUAGGGCGUAAGCCCGGGUAAAACGGCUUUUAGUAUAAAUCUUAAUAGUAAUAGUAAAUAGUUUAAUAAGAACUUAAAGGACCGAAGUAGGGAAAGGUUCUAUAUAAAUAGCGGUUAGACGUAGGUUAGUCGAUCCUAAGCUAUAGGGAAGUUCUGUUUUAAAGGGGCGCUUCUGCCCCGUAUAGCGAAAAGGAAGCUAGUUAAUAUUCUAGCACCUAGAUAUAGGUUUUACGCGGUAACGUAACUAAACGCGGAGAUAACGGCGGGGGCCCCGGGAAGAGUUCUCUUUUCUUCUUAACGGUCUAUCACCCUAGAAUCGGUUUAUCCGGAGAUAGGGUUUAAUAGCCGGAAGAGCCUAGCGCUUUUAUUAGGUCCGGUACGCUCUCGACGUCCCUUAAAAAUCCGCGGGAGGGAAUAAUUCUUAUGCUAGGUCGUACUUAUAACCGUAGCAGGUCUUUAAGGUAAAUAGCCUCUAAUAAAUAGAAUAAUAUAGAUAAGGGAAGUUAGUAAAAUAGAUCCGUAACUUCGGGAUAAGGAUUAGCUUUAAGGGUCGGGCGCGUCGGGCCUUAAGUAAACGGUUCGGCGGCGGGAGGCUACUAGCUAAGUAACUAGCCAGGGGCUUCCUGCUAUUAGGCUCUAACGCUCUUAGCAGGCUUCGGCUAUCCGGCGCGCGUUUAACGACUAACUUAGAACUAGCGCGGAUAGGGGGAAUCUAAUUAUCUAAUUAAAAUAUAGUAUUACGAUAACCAGAAAAUAGUAUUAACGUAAUAUAAUUUCUGCUUAGUGCUCUAAAUAUUAAAGUAAAGUAAUUUAACUAAGCGCGGGUAAACGGCGGGAGUAACUAUAACUCUUUUAAGGUAGCUAAAUACCUUAUUAUUUAAUUAAUAACGUAUAUAAAUAAAUUAACGAGAUUCCUACUAUCCUUAUCUACUAUCUAGUAAAACCAUAGCUAAGGGAAUAGGCUUAGUAGAAUUAGCGGGGAAAGAAGACCCUAUUAAGCUUAACUCUAGUUUAAUAUUAUAAAAAGAUAUAGGAGGUAUAGGAUAGGUGGAAGCUCCGGCGCUAAUAAAAUACUAUUACUCCUAUUAUUUUUUUACUUAUCCGGUAAAACGGGGCUAGACUUAUAUCUAACUUCUAGUAUUAAGGUCCUUCGCGGGCCGACCCGGGUUAAAGAUAUUAUUAGGUGGGGAGUUUAGCUAGGGCGGUAUAUCUAUUAAACUAUAACGCAGGUAUCCUAAGGGGGGCUUAUAAAGAAUAGAAAUCUCUAGUAAAACAAAAAGGUAAAAGUCCCCUUAAUUUUAAUUUUUAGUAUAAAUAUAAACUAUAAAAGUAUAGCCUAUCGAUCCUUUAGUCCCUCGGAGUUUAAGGCUAAAGGUGCUAGAAAAGUUACUAUAAGGAUAACUAGCUUAUAGCGGCUAAGCGUUUAUAGCGAUAUCGCUUUUUAAUCCUUUAAUAUCGGCUCUUCCUAUUAUACCGAAGCAGAAUUUAGUAAGCGUUAGAUUAUUCACCUACUAAUAGGGAAUAUAAGCUGGGUUUAGACUAUUAUAAGACAGGUUAGUUUUACCCUACUAAUAAUCUUGUUAUAAUAGUAAUUUAGCUUAGUAUAAAAGGAACCGCUAAUUUAGAUAAUUAGUUUUUAUAGCUAUCCGACCGGGUAGUGCCGCGAAGCUACUAUUUACCGGAUAAUAGCUAAACGCCUUUAAGCUAGAAUCUAUACUAGAAAACGAUAACGCCUCCUAUACAUAAAGAUAGACACGAAUAGGCUUUGGCUUAGCGUCUUAGUAGGCGGAGAGCGCUAUGGCCUAGGAAGCGGGCUAUGGUACUUCGCGAAUUAUAAUUUCACUAUAAGCAGGUUC